CAGACAAGAUCGAUCUCGCCU
rnacentral:miRNA from 1 species